UAGAGUGUAGAGGUGGCAGGGUAGCCUAGUGGUUAGAGUGUAGAGGUGGUAGGGUAGCCUAGUGGUUAGAGUGUAGAGGUGGUAGGGUAGCCUAGUGGUUAGAGUGUAGAGGAGGUAGGGUAGCCUAGUGGUUAGAGUGUAGAGGAGGUAGGGUAGCCUAGUGGUUAGAGUGUAGAGGAGGUAGGGUAGCCUAGUGGUUAGAGUGUAGAGGUGGUAGGGUAGCCUAGUGGUUAGAGUGUAGAGGUGGCAGGGUAGCCUAGUGGUUAGAGUGUAGAGGUGGUAGGGUAGCCUAGUGGUUAGAGUGUAGAGGUGGUAGGGUAGCCUAGUGGUUAGAGUGUAGAGGUGGCAGGGUAGCCUAGUGGUUAGAGUGUAGAGGUGGUAGGGUAGCCUAGUGGUUAGAGUGUAGAGGUGGCAGGGUAGCCUAGUGGUUAGAGUGUAGAGGUGGUAGGGUAGCCUAGUGGUUAGAGUGUAGAGGUGGCAGGGUAGCCUAGUGGUUAGAGUGUAGAGGUGGUAGGGUAGCCUAGUGGUUAGAGUGUAGAGGUGGCAGGGUAGCCUAGUGGUUAGAGUGUAGAGGCGGCAGGGUAGCCUAGUGGUUAGAGUGUAGAGGUGGCAGGGUAGCCUAGUGGUUAGAGUGUAGAGGUGGCAGGGUAGCCUAGUGGUUAGAGUGUAGAGGUGGCAGGGUAGCCUAGUGGUUAGAGUGUAGAGGUGGUAGGGUAGCCUAGUGGUUAGAGUGUAGAGGUGGUAGGGUAGCCUAGUGGUUAGAGUGUAGAGGAGGUAGGGUAGCCUAGUGGUUAGAGUGUAGAGGAGGUAGGGUAGCCUAGUGGUUAGAGUGUAGAGGUGGUAGGGUAGCCUAGUGGUUAGAGUGUAGAGGUGGUAGGGUAGCCUAGUGGUUAGAGUGUAGAGGUGGCAGGGUAGCCUAGUGGUUAGAGUGUAGAGGUGGUAGGGUAGCCUAGUGGUUAGAGUGUAGAGGUGGCAGGGUAGC